CAGGCUUAACACAUGCAAGUCGAGGGGCAUCAGGAAGAAAGCUUGCUUUCUUUGCUGGCGACCGGCGCACGGGUGAGUAACACGUAUCCAACCUGCCCUUUACUCGGGGAUAGCCUUUCGAAAGAAAGAUUAAUACCCGAUGGCAUAAUGAUUCCGCAUGGUUUCAUUAUUAAAGGAUUCCGGUAAAGGAUGGGGAUGCGUUCCAUUAGGUUGUUGGUGAGGUAACGGCUCACCAAGCCUUCGAUGGAUAGGGGUUCUGAGAGGAAGGUCCCCCACAUUGGAACUGAGACACGGUCCAAACUCCUACGGGAGGCAGCAGUGAGGAAUAUUGGUCAAUGGGCGCUAGCCUGAACCAGCCAAGUAGCGUGAAGGAUGAAGGCUCUAUGGGUCGUAAACUUCUUUUAUAUAAGAAUAAAGUGCAGUAUGUAUACUGUUUUGUAUGUAUUAUAUGAAUAAGGAUCGGCUAACUCCGUGCCAGCAGCCGCGGUAAUACGGAGGAUCCGAGCGUUAUCCGGAUUUAUUGGGUUUAAAGGGAGCGUAGGUGGACUGGUAAGUCAGUUGUGAAAGUUUGCGGCUCAACCGUAAAAUUGCAGUUGAUACUGUCAGUCUUGAGUACAGUAGAGGUGGGCGGAAUUCGUGGUGUAGCGGUGAAAUGCUUAGAUAUCACGAAGAACUCCGAUUGCGAAGGCAGCUCACUGGACUGCAACUGACACCGAUGCUCGAAAGUGUGGGUAUCAAACAGGAUUAGAUACCCUGGUAGUCCACACAGUAAACGAUGAAUACUCGCUGUUUGCGAUAUACAGUAAGCGGCCAAGCGAAAGCAUUAAGUAUUCCACCUGGGGAGUACGCCGGCAACGGUGAAACUCAAAGGAAUUGACGGGGGCCCGCACAAGCGGAGGAACAUGUGGUUUAAUUCGAUGAUACGCGAGGAACCUUACCCGGGCUUAAAUUGCAGUGGAAUGAUGUGGAAACAUGUCAGUGAGCAAUCACCGCUGUGAAGGUGCUGCAUGGUUGUCGUCAGCUCGUGCCGUGAGGUGUCGGCUUAAGUGCCAUAACGAGCGCAACCCUUAUCUUUAGUUACUAACAGGUUAUGCUGAGGACUCUAGAGAGACUGCCGUCGUAAGAUGUGAGGAAGGUGGGGAUGACGUCAAAUCAGCACGGCCCUUACGUCCGGGGCUACACACGUGUUACAAUGGGGGGUACAGAAGGCAGCUAGCGGGUGACCGUAUGCUAAUCCCAAAAGCCUCUCUCAGUUCGGAUCGAAGUCUGCAACCCGACUUCGUGAAGCUGGAUUCGCUAGUAAUCGCGCAUCAGCCACGGCGCGGUGAAUACGUUCCCGGGCCUUGUACACACCGCCCGUCAAGCCAUGGGAGCCGGGGGUACCUGAAGUACGUAACCGCAAGGAUCGUCCUAGGGUAAAACUGGUGACUGGGGCUAAGUCA
rnacentral:rRNA from 1 species